GAGGGUAUAGCUCAGUGGUAGAGCUCAUGCUUAGCACGCAAGGUUCUGGGUUCAACCCCGGGUACCGCCA
rnacentral:tRNA from 1 species